rnacentral:rRNA from 1 species
AGAUUGAACGCUGGCGGCAUGCUUUACACAUGCAAGUCGAACGGCAGCACGGGGGCAACCCUGGUGGCGAGUGGCGAACGGGUGAGUAAUAUAUCGGAACGUACCCGGAAAUGGGGGAUAACGUAGCGAAAGUUACGCUAAUACCGCAUAUGCCCUGAGGGGAAGGCGGGGAGUUCGACGAGAACCUCGCGUUUUCGGAGCGGCCGAUAUCGGAUUAGCUAGUAGGUGAGGUAAAGGCUCACCUAGGCGACGAUCCGUAGCUGGUCUGAGAGGACGACCAGCCACACUGGAACUGAGACACGGUCCAGACUCCUACGGGAGGCAGCAGUGGGAAUUUGGACAAUGGGCGCAAGCCUGAUCCAGCCAUGCCGCGUGAGUG